rnacentral:rRNA from 1 species
GGAUGCGAUCAUACCAGCACUAAGCACCGGAUCCCAUCAGAACUCCGAAGUUAAGCGUGCUUGGGCGAGAGUAGUAUUAGGAUGGGUGACCUCCUGGGAAGUCCUCGUGUUGCAUUCCC